GACCAAUUUGAUAUGCACCACUGGUGUGAGGUUAGAUAUUUAGGUAAAUAACAAUAUUCCUAUUUUUUAAGUUAACAGGAAACAUAACACAGGACUCCAGAUUUAGGGAGAGAAUGCAAAAAACUACUAUCAUACUCCAUCCAGUAAGGACAAGUGUCCCUGCGUCACCAAAGCAAUGAGAAUUUGCACAAAGAAAACACAGUUCUCCAAUUGUGACAAAUACUAGACCGUGAGCCAUGAGUUACGAGAACAAGCAACUGUUUAAAUGCCAUGGGCAAAUUUUUUUUAUCAUCUUGAAAACAUCACUGAUGUUCUAGGAUGAAAUUCUUGAAGACGACUCCCUGACCUGAAGGGAUGGAUGGAGGAGUAAAGAAAAGAAGACAAGCAUCUUUGGCCCAUAAAAAAUGAGAGGGCAUGCUAUUUUUUUUAAAUCAAAUGAGGAGGUAUUCGCAAGCCAAUGGACAACGGAAUUACCUAAGGAGACAUUAUAAAGCAGCAAGAGCAACUAGCAUUUUGACAAGCAUUCUGCCUGAGAGUCACUCGUACCAUCUCAUUUUGACCUGGCCACUUGGAGUUCAGGCUGAAUUCAUACUACUUAUGAGGAGAAGUCCUGAGACCGAGGAGAGAGGGGAAGAUAGUCCAGACAUAAACAAUUUCAAGAGAUCCACUUCAUCAAGGAAGCAAAGUAUUAAAUAAACAACUUCAACAACAAGCUUGUCAAUAAACCUUGGUGUCUCUGUCUCUGCCUGAAGGAGGGUAAGCCCUCCAACCCAUCUGCCUUCCAGCCACAUACCCUGGAUGAUCUUGGUUCAAUCACCUGUGACACGUGUGUUCUCCAGGAAAUCUUUGUAGAGAUUAAACGAUAAAACUAUAUGCAUAGGGGAUACUUAUUUGUUAAGCAGUAGGCACUAAACAAAUAAUAAAAUUAUUUUAUUUCAUGAAAAUGGGAGAUAGGUCUCCCAAUUAAACAUUCCUGACAGAAUCCCAACAAGCACUUUAAUUUAUCUGCCAGAAAUUGUAAAAUAACAUUUCUUUUUAAAGGCUGUAUCCAUUCUCCCUACUUUUUACCAAUCCUGGCUGUUAUCCUGAAAAUCUAUUCCCAGAACUUGGCAUCCAUCUCCCAUAUUUAAAUCCUUUAAGUUUGAAAUUAUGAUGAAGCUUGGGCACAUAAAGAUUCACACCAUAAUUCACAGAAUAAACAAAGACCACAGGAACAGGGCCACUUCCAGAC